GUCUUUAUGGUGAAAUGAUCACAUCACUUUUUCAAGGUGGAAUUGAACUGCAAAUUCUAAAGAUA
rnacentral:tRNA from 1 species